GAUCGUUUGGUAGACUCCCUCCAUCUUGCUGUAUCUUUGGAGUUCUUGAAUUAUACUUGUGUCUUCGUUACUGGAUAGCCUUAGCGUUGGCCUUGGUAUAUAUUCUUGAAGGAUUAUUUUGACCCCUGUUUAGGGGUUUUGUAUCAGGACUAAAGUUCUCAGUCUCAGGUUUUUCUGUCUGAGAUUGUCGUCUCAGGUUUCGGGACUGAAGAUUCAGGUUCCAGAUUGUAUCUGGACUUGGUGGACGUCGGGAGUGGUGUUGCUACUCUGAACUUUGAGUCUACAUUGUUGUUGAACAUUUAUCUUGGUUGAAGAUAGAUCUACUUGUGUUGCCAUUGGUAUAAGAAGUACACGCACCUGAUUACAGAGUCUUUGUCUUGGAAUGAACUAUUGGGAGAACAAUGCUGAUGGAGAAUAUUAAAAAGUCUUGCUGGUAAAACGGAGGAACUCUUCAAUAUUGUGAGAGACGAUAGCUGAGCCAAUUUACUUCAUCCUCUGGUCAUUUUAUCCACUGGUCAUUUCAUCCGCUGGUCAUUUUAAUCCUCUGAUUCAUCAAAUAAUAAUUGUAAAAAGUAUGAAAAUAACAAUAUUUCAUACAUUUAUUUUCAUUUACUUGACACAUUAAAUACGAAUAGAAUAAAAAGUUAUUAAAAAUAAAAAUUUAAAAUCUAUAUAGAGCUGAUGUAACAAUUGUUUUUGUGUGCUAAUUGAAAUCCUAGUCUAUGAUUGAAAUCAAUAAGAUUGGCUAUUGGUACAAAAGACAAUCCAUUGAUUAGUUUUGCUGUAAAUCGUUUGUAAAUUCUUGGCCAGUGUUUGCGUAUUAGUUGAGGUGAGCGUUUAUUAGACUAAAGAAAACGUUGUAUCAGGGUUUGAACUGACACGCUUAUAUUCAAGAACGAGUAACAAAAUGGAUAAAGUGAAAGGUUGCCGUCAGGAGGUAAGUUAUAAGCGGCUUGAUCAUAAUUAUUCUAAUCGUACUUCUAUAUUGACAUCCCCCUACAUCAAAUAGAAACUAUUUAAUUAUUUACAAACCCCGUUUUACAAUAAAUCUACUUAUUUACAUCUAUUAUUUUAUUUUUCAACGAGAAUGUAGAGAGGAGGGGGAACACUAUAAACACUUUAAAAUAUCAAAUAACAUUUUAAAUAAUAAUAUUAAUAUUGCUGAGAGCGCCUGUCCUCUAUAGUUUCCAUUAUUGCCUGAGGUCCUCCUCCUGAACAUUAAGCCCCCUCAAAAGAUAAGGCGUAUAUCAAAGCACUGCUUGCCUCUCGUUUUUCUACGAGAUCGGAUAGCCUUCUUCAAUUCGGGGUCACGAACACCAUCAAUAAUCGUGUCCAUUAUGAGAACGUCUAAGGUCUCCAGGGUCAAGGUCGGAUAAGCCAGGUGUGCCAGUCGUUCAAUAUCUGCUUCUUCAUGUGUUCGUCCCCAAAUGCAAUUCCUUUGUUCUAACAAUGGCCUCGUAAUCUUGCUGGUCGUUAACUCUCUGUAGCAGAGUCCUGUCGUCGUAACACUAACAUUAAUCCUGUCGCAUUGUUUGUACUCCAGUUGUUCACUUUGACAGCCGCCUCAAAUUGCCGUUUAUAGUCUGUCCAAGAAACUGUAUCAUCCAAAAUAGGUGGCUUAACUUUCCGAAUUGCUUCGCUCGAUCCUGAAUUUGUUUGUAUGCGUUGAACUUUGCC